rnacentral:misc_RNA from 1 species
AGAGUUGUCCGCACAUGAAGAAACGACGACAUUGUGACACUGAUGUGACCAAUGCGACAUUGUGAUGGGAGUGACCGAUUAAAACUGUACAAUGACCAGAUAAAAACUGACACCAGGGAGAUAUGUCUGCAAGGGAGAAAUAAAUGAGAGGAAACCUGCCAGGAAGUACACCAUUAGACACACAGUGAUAUAAGUGGCAGGUAAAGGUAUUACUGACAAAACAGAUGAAUGAUGAUGCUUGCUUGGCUAUCAUGCUGUCUUGAACCGCUGAAUGCAGACGCUGAGCGCGCGCAAAAGACGAGUGGAAAAGGGAGAGCACUAGCGCGGAAAGAGGAGGGACGACGACGUGACGGCGCUUGACUCGCCCUCUUACUCCGAGGAGGCGAUAAUGCCGAACGCAGCAGACGUCAAGGGAUAGUGCACGUGCCAUCGUUCGUUUUGUGAGUGGAUUGGGGCAGACCGAUGGCCUGUAAAUCGUGGCUUAAAACAGCUUCACGCCGAUGGCUGGAGUACUUACUUUAAAAGAGGUGUCUCACCUGGUGAAGAACGAGAGGAAUGCAAUGCACGGGAAGUGUAAAUUAAAGGCUCCACGAGGUUAAUCCGAGACUGGCAUAACCUGACGUCUCUCCACUAGGAAGCGCGGUAAACACACUUCAAAGAUCCAGAAUAAUGCUGCUCUCCUCAUCUGCAGAUCAUCUAGAUGUGAACUUAUAUCACCCAUUAAUCGCUUUCUUCACUGGUUGCCAAUCGUGGAUCGUGUAGCCUAUAAACUUUCCACUACUCCGCCAUUUUUGGCCCUGGACCUCGGUACCUCUCCGAACUCACUCCCAUCUAUACGACGCACGACUUCUUCGCUCAUCUUCUGACACCAGACUUCUGCGAGUCCCACUAAGACAAAAACGUAGAGAUCUUUCUCCUACCAAGCCUCGUCUAGUUGGAAUGGAUUACCCAUCAGCCUUCGUCACUCUGAUUCUCAUACCACCUUGAAGUCCAAACUUAAGACAUAUUUUUAGAACGGUGACUUCACUAUGACCAUGUAUGCGUAUAGGUGGAUUGCUAUCUGUCUGCCAACACCAACGCUUAGCCUCUUGAGAAGUUCUCCGCUGUUAAUCUCGGCGAGC